AGUGACUCAUUCCUUUGCCUCAAGGAGUCCUGCUAAUCCUUGGGUCAGUCCCAUGGCUAGUUUCAUAUUACAGAUGAAGAAAUGGAGGCCUGAUAUGGUAAAUGCCAAGAGAACGGGAAACACAGGGACCGGCUCCCAGCUGGGGUGUGGCAGUAAGGGGGGGGUCCCUGGGGUGAGCAGGCUGGGAAGGAGAAAAGACCCAGAAGGAGCAAAGGCCCAGAAAUGUGGAUGACAUUGAGGAACCAGUGUCUCAACCUGGCUCGAGCCUUGGAGAUCAAGAAAUGGAUAACGUGUGUGCUGGUGAGGACGUGGGAGAGUUGUCACUCUCUUGUUUGUUGGUGGCAGUUCCAUCAGAACAGCUGCUGCGGCAGGAACUUUGGCAAAUCCUACAGCAGUCCCGCACGCACAUGUCUCCUGGCCCGGCAAUUCCACUUCUAGGAAUUCAUCCUUGGCUACAUUUGCUCACGUGCAAAAUGGUGUGUGAGCCAGGAUGUUGGCAGCAGCAUUGUUGGUGAGAACAAAUAACAGGAACAAGCUGCCCAUCACUAACAGGGAACUGGCCAAAGAGAAUAAGGAUACUUUCUGUAUAUAGAUAUCCACAGUUCUCUGUGGUAAAAUAAGAAAACUGUAAGUAUGAGCAGUAAGCUAUUAUUUGUGUAAAAAAGAAAAAGAAAAUGCAUAUGUGCUUAUGUGUUAUAGGCAGAGACUCUGAAAGAAUGCACAAGGAGCUGGGAAGAGCGGAUUCUUCAGGGAAUUUAUAUGGCUGCGAGAGAAGAGAAAGAGACUUUUCAUUGUAAAGCCCCUCCAUAGCUUUUGAAUUUGGUAAUGUGUGCAUGUAUACUAUAAAUAACAAAAUAGAAAAGGAGAACAAAAUGUAGGGAAAA